UUCGCUCAGUUAAUAAAUCAUUAGGAUUUCCAUGUCCGUCAUCCACCUCCAUCAUUUAUUCUACAUAUUCAUCUUCUUCUAUUGGAAAUUCUGCGAGAAACUCUGCGAUAACUUGAGACUUUGGUGAAGAUAAAAUUUCAUAUCCGAUCUCAUAAUUUCCUAACUGUGCAUUCCACUUUUCUAUUCUUCACGACCUCUUCGAAUUCUUCAUUGCAUUUUCAAUUGUUACUCUUGUUAAUAUUUUAAUUUUGUGGGCUUGAAAAUAAAUGCGAAGUUUGAAUUAUAUACCAGUGCGAGAAUCAUUUUUUCGAUUUUUGAAUAAUUUUUCUCUGCGCAGUUAUAAGUUUUGCUUAUAUAAUAUAUUGGUUUCUCCACACCUUCCUCCGAUCAUAAUAAUACUGCACUUAAUACAUGGGAUGUUGAUGCUAAGUACAAUAAUAGUUCUUCUCCUUAUUUCGCCUUUUGCAUAAUGGAUAGGUUCACCAAAUAAUAUUUUAUGCUUUGCAAUGCUUUAUCACAUUCCAUUGUCCAUUCAAAUUUGGUUCCCUUUUUUAAUAUAUUGAAAAAGUGUUUACAUUUGUCCGAAGAUCUCGCAAUAAAUCUUCCCAACGAUGCUAUCAAUCCAUUCAAUUUUUGAACAUCCUUGACUGUUGCAGGUGGUGGCAUAUCUCUGAUCGCUUGGACCUUUUCUGGAUCAACUUGUAUUCCCUCCUUAGAUAUAAUAUAGCCUAGGAAUUUUCCUGAUGAUACUCCAAUUAUACAUUUUUCUGGAUUUACCUUAAUAUUGAAUGUUCGCAUUUGCUAAAAUAUUUCUCGUAAAUCAUCAACAUGGUCUUUCGCCUCUUUGCUUUUAAUCAACAUAUCGUCUACAUAAACUUCCAGUGUUUUAUGGAUCCAUUUUUCAAAUACUUUCUGUACCAUUAUUUGAUACAUCGCAACGGCAUUCUUCAAUCCAAACGACAUUUUCGUGUAACAAUAUAAACCUCUGGGUGCGAAGAAAGCAGUGUGUUCUUGAUAUUCUUCUGCUAAUGGAAUAUUAUUAUAGCCUUUGUACACAUCUAACAUCGUGACUCUAUCAUUCCCUGAUGCAGACUCCACCAUUUGGGGUAUGUCGGGUAGAGGGAAGCUGUCUUUAGGGCAUGCUUUAUUUAGAUCUGUAAAAUCUAUACAUAUCCUAAUUUCGUUGUUCUUUUUAGGUACCACUACCAUAUUUGCUAUCCAUUCUGGAUAUUUUGCUUCCCUUAUAAUUCCUGCAUCCAACAUCUUUUGUAACUCUUCUUCGAUUUUAGGAUGAUAAUCAGUUGCAAUUUUCCUUAUUCUUUGCUUGAAUGGUUUUACAUUCUUCUUAAUGUCUAAUCUAUGACAUGCGACAGACGGAUCUAUUCCUGACAUUUCAUCCAUACUCCAUGCGAAAAUAUCACUAUAUGCUCGCAGAAUGUUUAUUGUUUUUUCCUCUUCUUCUUUACCCAUUUUGGUUCCGAUUCUUAAUAUUUUUGGUUCUUCUUCAGUUCCUACAUUUAUUUAUUUUGCUGGUUCUGCUGCGGUAAAAUUCUCCUUUGGCUUGCCCAUAGGUGUUGGUUCCUUAAUUUCUUUAACUCGUUCACCUUCCUCAAUCGUUUCUGCACCUGGUAUUCCUUUUCCUUCUUUUGAUCUUAUCAUGUAUAUUCGAAACUCCUCUUCUUUUCUUCGUUCUUUCGCUUUUCUCCAUCUUUCCUUUCGUUUCUUUGCUCGUCCUUCAUAAUUUCGCACAUCUAUUUGAUUGCAAGUAUUCGCAGCCUUAAUAUCUCCUCUGAUUUCACCUAUACCGCUUGGAAUUGGAAAUCUGAUAUAUUGAUGUAAUGUUGACGAAACUGCCUUUAGCCCAUGUACCCAUGGUCUCGCCAACAACAUGUUGUAUGGUGACUCAAUGUCAAUCACGCACAGUGUUAUCUUUGUUUCGAUCUCUCCCAGUAAUAUUCGCAUUACGAUUCUCCUUUUGGCUUUGUAAUUGCUCUAUUAAAUCCAUGAAUAUUAUAUGGUGUAGGUGUCAUUUCUUCAUCUUUGUAUCCCGUUGCUUUAAAUGUGCGAUAAAAUAAUAUAUCAACUGCACUUCCUGUAUCUAUCAAUGUCUUAUCAAUCGCCCAUCCUUCAAAUGUCCUCUGUUGUGCAAUAAUGUUUUCUCGCUCGACUGUGACCGUGAUUACCAAUGGAUCUGUUCGCUGUAAGUCUUCUUCUGGAAUUUCAUCUGCCGGAAAGGAUAUCUUCACCUUUUCCCAAUCUUGUAAUGAUAUAUUAUCAGGAUUUAUCAUCCAGAGCUGAUUUCUAGCGCCAAAAAUGUAGUUGUAAGAUUUCUUACAACUACACUCCACUUAAUCUGGUUAUCUCUCCAUGUAAUCAUCAUGGACAAUUGUUUCAUUGAUUAAAUAUUUAAAUCACUUACAAGAUGAAUGGAAAUCUAUAACAA